GCCAGACUCCUACGGGAGGCAGCAGUGGGGAAUAUUGCACAAUGGGGGAAACCCUGAUGCAGCAACGCCGCGUGAGUGAAGAAGUAUUUCGGUAUGUAAAGCUCUAUCAGCAGGAACGAGACAAGACGGUACCUGACUAAGAAGCCCCGGCUAACUACGUGCCAGCAGCCGCGGUAAUACGUAGGGGGCAAGCGUUAUCCGGAAUCACUGGGUGUAAAGGGAGCGUAGACGGCUGUGCAAGCCUGAAGUGAAAGGCGGGGGCCCAACCCCCGGACUGCUUUGGGAACUGUACGGCUGGAGUGCAGGAGAGGUAAGUGGAAUUCCUAGUGUAGCGGUGAAAUGCGUAGAUAUUAGGAGGAACACCAGUGGCGAAGGCGGCUUACUGGACUGUAACUGACGUUGAGGCUCGAAAGCGUGGGGAGCAAACAGGAUUAGAUACCCGAGUAA
rnacentral:rRNA from 1 species